AUUGAACGCUGGCGGCAGGCCUAACACAUGCAAGUCGAACGAGUGGCGGACGGGUGAGUACUGUCUGGGAAACUGCCUGAUGGAGGGGGAUAACUACUGGAAACGGUAGCUAAUACCGCAUACCACCAGAGGUCCCAAGAUGGGAUUAGCUGGUUGGUGGGGGAACGGCGCACCAAGGCGACGAUCCCUAGCUGGUCUGAGAGGAUGACCAGCCAAACUGGAACUGAGACACGGUCCAGACUCCUACGGGAGGCAGCAGUGGGGAAUAUUGCACAAUGGGCGCAAGCCUGAUGCAGCCAUGCCGCGUGUAUGAAUAAGGCCUUCGGGUUGUAAAGUACUUUCAGCGGGGAGGCGUUACCCGCAGAAGAAGCACCGGCUAACUCCGUGCCAGCAGCCGCGGUAAUUC
rnacentral:rRNA from 1 species